rnacentral:misc_RNA from 1 species
AAGCUUGGACAGUAGUUCUUUAUUAAUUAACUAUCAUAUCAUGAUGUUGUCUACAUUUCUGCUGCUUUAACAGAUUUUGUUUGAUCUUUGUUAUCCAGUGAUGUUGGAUGCAUAUUCUCAUUCAUUUCUUGCACAUCAUGGGUGACCAAUUGGUGGCAUAGAUUUUUACUCAUUUUCUUUGACUUGGUUUGAGAAAGAAUUCACAAGGGGUCUCCUCAUCAGUAGUAUAUUGAGGUAUCUCUCAGUUGAUUAAAUCUUGAGUUGUCCUCUUGUGAUUGUCCAGGCGUAGAAAUCAAUAUCAUUAGGUGUAAUUUAUUAGAUUUACAUAUUACUGUAAAUCAGCAUUGCACUACCAUAAUAUGUUACUUUGUUUCGCUUAGUAAUUGCAGAAUCUUAUAUGUGUGCUAAUAGGAGUUUUACAACAUUUCAUAAUAACUGCAGCAUUGCUUUAAUUGUGUUUGUUUUACUACCGCUAUAUGUUCAUUAUACAUCAUCCUUAAGCUAUUAGGACAUUAUACAUCAUCUUGAAGCCUUAUCAUUUCUUUUUUUCAAAUCUUUGAAGUGG